AGAGUUGAUCAUGGCUCAGGACGAACGCUGGCGGCGUGCCUAACACAUGCAAGUCGAGCGGGGACAUGCGACGGAUAGGAAGAUUCGGUUGGACUUGAAGAUGCAUUGUUCUAGCGGCGGACGGGUGAGUAACGCGUGAGCAACCUGUCCCUUACAGGGGGAUAACACAGCGAAAGUUGUACUAAUACCGCAUAAGACCACGGGAGGACAUCCUUCAGGGGUCAAAGGAGGAAUCCGGUAAGGGGUGGGCUCGCGUCCGAUUAGAUAGUUGGUGAGGUAACGGCCCACCAAGUCGACGAUCGGUAGCCGACCUGAGAGGGUGAUCGGCCACAUUGGGACUGAGACACGGCCCAAACUCCUACGGGAGGCAGCAGUGGGGAAUAUUGGGCAAUGGGGGAAACCCUGACCCAGCAACGCCGCGUGAGGGAAGAAGGUUUUCGGAUCGUAAACCUCUGUCCUUGGUGAAGAGGAAGAGACGGUAGCCAAGGAGGAAGCCCCGGCUAACUACGUGCCAGCCGCAGC
rnacentral:rRNA from 1 species